GGGCCGCUAGCUCAGUUUGGUAGAGCACCGCCCUUUUAAGGCGGCUGUCCCCAGUUCGAUCCUGGGGCGGCUCA
rnacentral:tRNA from 1 species